rnacentral:rRNA from 1 species
CAGCCGCCGCGGGAAUACGAAGGGGGCUAGCGUUGUUCGGAAUUACUGGGCGUAAAGCGCACGUAGGCGGAUAUUUAAGUCAGGGGUGAAAUCCCGCAGCUCAACUGCGGAACUGCCUUUGAUACUGGGUAUCUUGAGUAUGGAAGAGGUUAGUGGAAUUGCGAGUGUAGAGGUGAAAUUCGUAGAUAUUCGCAGGAACACCAGUGGCGAAAGCGGCUAACUGGUCCAUAACUGACGCUGAGGUGCGAAAGCGUGGGGAGCAAACAGGAUUAGAUACCCGAGUAGUCCCUGUCUCUUAUAA